ACCUUGGCCUUUCGUUUGCAUAUUGCCCCCGUGUUCACUUGGGUUCCCUCCAGGCGCUCCUGCUUGCUCCCACUUUUAAAGACAUGCAGGUUAGAUGAAUUGGAAACUUUUAACUUGGCCG